AUGGCGAAGACGCACGCGGGCACGCGCGUGUGGGCGCGGGGUCCCGUCGGUCGGUCCACGUGCGCGCGUGACAGCGGAGACAGAUAUAUUUGGACAUCAAAUCUGAACACCCAGUCACAGAGACACACACACAUCCGCACACACCCCCCCACAGGCGCAGGCCGCAGGCCCCGCCCCACACCCCGCCCCGGUCCCUCUUGGUCCCCGCGAAGCGACGCGCCUGCCCCGGUGUCUCUGCAGAGCUCUCUCCUGGCCCCUCGGGCCUCCCUGCCGCCCACGAACACAGGCGUGCACUCACAGCGUCCAUGCAUCCAGACACACGAUACCUCGUUCCACUUUGGCGUCACGGGGGGCUGGAGGCAGCCCCCCCACCAACACUUGAGGCCAAAGGACCCCCCCCUGCCCCCGGGGCUGAGCCUCCCUGGGCCAAGGCCGCGGAGCCUCCCCUACUAUUUUUUCGUCUUUCCAGAUAGGUGAGGGCAGUGGACACAGCCCCCAUCCCGAGCUCCGGCCCCAGCUUCUGUCUGGACUUUGCUUCUCCCUGAUUUUGUUUUUAAAAUAAUAAUAAUAAUAAAAUUCCAACAGAAGCCACAGGCCAGAGCCCCGGGGAGCCCCUGCACCACUCCCUGCACCCCUCAGCGGGCCCAAGUCAGAACUGAGAAUUGCAAACCCCCGACUUUAGCUAUAGUUGAGUUGCCUUCCUGCCCCCGACCCCCCUGGUGUCCCCACGUUUGGUGUCUGGCCAUGGCCCUAUCUGAUCGUCCAGCUCUCUCUCCCCUCCCCCUCCCGGUGUUGUUAUUAAACGUCUGUGGAGCUUCUGCUGCAAGGAACAAAAAGAAAAAAAAAAUCAAAAAAGUGACAAAAAACACAAAGAAGAGAAGAAAAAAAAGCAACAAAAAAAAAAAGGAAAAAACACACACAGAAGAGAUUUAAAAAAAAAAAAAAGGAAAAAAAAAAGACAUAAACUGGCACCAGUUAACUUUCUUGUACUUUUUUGCUGAAUUUAGCUUCUUGUAGUUUUAACUUAUUGCUAUGUUAACUAUUUAUUAUUCCUGUUGCCCUGUAAGGACAUUUGUGUAUAUUUCUGUUACUUCAUCCAGUUUGCAAGUUAAAGGAACGAUGGUGUUCUCUUUGUUUCUUUAAGUUUUGCCGAGACGUGGUUAUGCCUAAUUUAUUUAUAAAAGGGGAAGUGGAAUCAUUAAAGUUAAUAAUAAUUAUUAAUAACAGUAAUGGUAGCCGAGUGGCACCCGGGAGCGCGUGCUCCGUGGGGCAGUCCCCGUGGCCAGCGACGUCCGGGGUCUUUAAUGGGAUUACUUUUGCUCUUGUCUUGAGAAUUUUUUCAGUCUAUUUAGCUGGUGAAAACCCUAGCUUGUUCUUGAUACACGAACCUAUUUAUUCUUGUGGUUUUAAGUCCUCCCUGCCCUCUUCCCUCUCCCCUCCAGCAGGGCAGGGACCCCCGAGGGUCCACCCCUCUCCCCUGCUGUUUCUUGGGGCUCUCUCCUCUCCGCCCUCCGCACGCGGGAACACGCGUGGCCGCGUGGCAAGCCAAGCGUGCAGGAGGCGUCCGAGCAAUAAAGGCUGGCUUUGUCCCCCACCCUGGGGGGCUGGGCUUCAGAGAGGGGGCACCUCCCCACACCCCCAACCGAGGCCUCGGCCCCCUGCCGCCCCCAAGACUGGGAGGGGACUUCUUUUUCUAAAACACUAAACUCAGCCCAGCCAGGCCCCCACCCUGGAGGCCAGCCCCUCACCCCAGGGGGCCAGGCCAGGGCUCCCAGGGGACGGGCUCGGGUCUUCCACGUCCCUGGGGGGCAGAGGCAGGGCCAGUGGGGAGGGGGCACAGCCCCUCCAGCCCUCCCCUUCAUCCUGUUAUUUAUUCGGAAGGUUUCAAAUCAUGACAGAGUCCAUGUUGGAGGUGAUAAUGAACUGUUUAAAAAAAAAAAAAAAAAGACAAAAAAAAAAAGAGAAACACACGACCCGACACCAAGAACACUUUGCGUUGCGUUUAGACUAUUUAUUACCGGGAUUACAGGCCUGGCCGCGGUAACAGACUUUUACAUGGAAUUGUUUAAUUAUUUGUACUUUUCAUGCCAGAAAAUAAAAGUUCAGAAUCUUA